UUCUGCGGGCCGCGGGUAGAGGAGAAUUCCAGGGCAAUUCUCCUUUGGCAGAAAAUAUUGCGCUUGUACGUACACGCACGGUGCAGUACUUGCACAGGUGCUAUAAUAUAUAAUAUUUGCCGCCAAAGGAGAAUUGCCCUGCCAUUCAACUACUACCAUAUGUAUGCAUAC
rnacentral:pre_miRNA from 1 species